GUGGGGAAUUUUGGACAAUGGGCGCAAGCCUGAUCCAGCAAUGCCGCGUGCAGGAAGAAGGCCUUCGGGUUGUAAACUGCUUUUGUCAGGGAAGAAAUCUUCUGGGCUAAUACCCCGGGAGGAUGACGGUACCUGAAGAAUAAGCACCGGCUAACUACGUGCCAGCAGCCGCGGUAAUACGUAGGGUGCGAGCGUUAAUCGGAAUUACUGGGCGUAAAGCGUGCGCAGGCGGUUAUGUAAGACAGAUGUGAAAUCCCCGGGCUCAACCUGGGAACUGCAUUUGUGACUGCAUGACUGGAGUGCGACAGAGGGGGAUGGAAUUCCGCGUGUAGCAGUGAAAUGCGUAGAUAUGCGGAGGAACACCGAUGGCGAAGGCAAUCCCCUGGGCCUGCACUGACGCUCAUGCACGAAAGCGUGGGGAGCAAACAGGAUUAGAUACCCGGGUAGUCC
rnacentral:rRNA from 1 species